rnacentral:tRNA from 1 species
GGGGAUGUAGCUCAGCGGGAGAGCACUUGCUUUGCAUGUAAGAGGCACUGGGUUCAACCCCCAGCAUCUCCA